UUUUUUUUGAAACAGCAAUAAUUAACUCCAUGAUUGCCACAUUCUGUCACCAAGAGAUGUGUUAUUACCGUAAAGCUGAAAUAAUCUUCUGAGGUGGAUCUGAUGGUGGGGUGGCAGCUUCAUGCUUGUCAGUUUCUUGACUAAUAAACCCUUUGAUACUUUUAGCGGGAAAUCAGUCUCAUAAAGCUAUUUUGAGUAUAGUUUGUGUAAAAUAAAACUGUUCAGCUUUGGCAAUAGCUUUCCAAGUUGAACUCCCUCUCUCUAUCUAGCAGGAUAUUUUUUCAGUGCUUUUAUUUACUAUGCACUUAGACUAUGCACUUUUUCUGAAAUAUUUUUGUAACACUUUUUUGUAUUUUUGCCAUUUGAAAAGGUUGUGGUGUUGUUGGUAUGUCAUUAAGUUGCAGGUUUGAAACUGCUGUUAGCUUUGUGACUCAGAAUCUAGAAAUGUUCUGUCCUGGUAUUUUGUCGUCCCAUCUACAGCUGGAGCUGGAAUCCGUUGAUCUUCUAGCUACCAUUCAUUUUCUUCACAGUUCACAAAGAAGAGCGUGAAAUUCAGUGAAUGCAGUUACUAAUCCUGUCUGGAAAUGAAUCUCAUUUCACCAAAUCAAUUGUGUUUUUCCACUAAAAUGAUGGUGUAUGUUGAAGACAUCACUCUGAGAUUGGAAGACCUCACCACUAAAGGCUCCAUCCACAGUGGCUGGCUCAGCUGAACUUUAGGUUGCCAUUCUUUUCUUUGUUCACCAUUGGGUGAUGCAGCUUUUUAACUGUUGGGAGAUGGCCAUUCUAACUACUGUUGAAUGUCUCUGUUUUGGGAAGGUAAAAUAAGAAAAUAAAAAAAGAAUAUAUAUGAAGGGAGAGGCUGGUUGUCUCUCCCAUGUGGUUGUGAAUAUGCUCUUAUGACCCACAAGUGGACAUACAAGGCUUAUCUUUGCUGUGAUUUCCUCUCUGCUUUAAGUCUAUCAUACUGUAAAUAUUUCAGAGUGUACUGUAACACGAGCUGAAUUGUGAUAAAUCAUGAACUGCAGAGACAGACGGUGUAGUCUAAGCCAGUAGGCUGUUCUCCCUGGAGAUUGCUGGGAAUAAUAAAGAAUAGUUUAUUGU
rnacentral:lncRNA from 1 species